rnacentral:tRNA from 1 species
GGGGAUGUGGGGUAAUGGUUAUCCUACCUUGGUAAAGCCUUGAGGGGCUCCGAGGAGAUCCGGGUUCGAAUCCUGGCAUCUCCU